AACCCUAUCUUAGUUGCCAUCAUUGAGUUGGGCACUCUAAAGAGACUGCCGGUGGUCAAACCGGGAGGAAGGUGGGGAUGACGUCAAGUCCUCAUGGCCUUAUGACCAGGGCUACACACGUACUACAAUGGCCGGUACAAAGGGCAGCGACACAGCGAUGUGAAGCCAAUCCCGAAAAGCCGGUCUCAGUCCGGAUUGGAGUCUGCAACUCGACUCCAUGAAGUUGGAAUCGCUAGUAAUCGCGGAUCAGCACGCCGCGGUGAAUACCGGUUCCCGGGCCUU
rnacentral:rRNA from 1 species